rnacentral:rRNA from 1 species
UACGUAGGCAGCGAGCGUUGUUCGGAGUUACUGGGCGUAAAGGGUGUGUAGGCGGUUGUUUAAGUUUGGUGUGAAAUCUCCCGGCUCAACUGGGAGGGUGCGCCGAAUACUGAAUGACUUGGAGUGCGGGAGAGGAGAGUGGAAUUCCUGGUGUAGCGGUGAAAUGCGUAGAUAUCAGGAGGAACACCGGUGGUGUAGACGGCUCUCUGGACCGUAACUGGCGCUGAGACACGAAAGCGUGGGUAGCAAACAGG